AUUGAACGCUGGCGGCAGGCCUAACACAUGCAAGUCGAACGGUAACAGGAAGACGCUUGCUUCUUUGCUGACGAGUGGCGGACGGGUGAGUAAUGUCUGGGAAACUGCCUGAUGGAGGGGGAUAACUACUGGAAACGGUAGCUAAUACCGCAUAACGUCGCAAGACCAAAGAGGGGGACCUUCGGGCCUCUUGCCAUCGGAUGUGCCCAGAUGGGAUUAGCUAGUAGGUGGGGUAACGGCUCACCUAGGCGACGAUCCCUAGCUGGUCUGAGAGGAUGACCAGCCACACUGGAACUGAGACACGGUCCAGACUCCUACGGGAGGCAGCAGUGGGGAAUAUUGCACAAUGGGCGCAAGCCUGAUGCGGCCAUGCCGCGUGUAUGAAGAAGGCCUUCGGGUUGUAAAGUACUUUCAGCGGGGAGGAAGGGAGUAAAGUUAAUACCUUUGCUCAUUGACGUUACCCGCAGAAGAAGCACCGGCUAACUCCGUG
rnacentral:rRNA from 1 species